ACUGCUCAGUAACACGUGGGUGAUCUACCUCUGAGUGGGGGAUAACGUUCCGAAAGGAGCGCUAAUACCGCAUGACGUCCCGGGUUUGAAGACCUGGACACCAAAGUCGGGGACCGCAAGGCCUGACGCUUGGAGAGGAGCCCGCGCCUGAUUAGCUAGUUGGUGAGGUCACGGCUCACCAAGGCGACGAUCAGUAGCCGGCCUGAGAGGGCGGACGGCCACACUGGGACUGAGACACGGCCCAGACUCCUACGGGAGGCAGCAGUGGGGAAUUGUUCGCAAUGGGCGCAAGCCUGACGACGCAACGCCGCGUGGAGGAUGAAGGUCUUCGGAUUGUAAACUCCUGUUGACCGGGAAGAAUGGGUCCUGACCUAACACGUCGGGGCAAUGACGGUACCGGUUGAGGAAGCCACGGCUAACUCUGUGCCGGCAGCCGCGGUAAUACAGAGGUGGCAAGCGUUGUUCGGAAUUACUGGGCGUAAAGGGCGCGUAGGCGGCCGCCUAAGUCAGACGUGAAAUCCCCAGGCUUAACUUGGGAACUGCGUCUGAUACUGGGUGGCUUGAGUUCGGGAGAGGAAUGUGGAAUUCCAGGUGUAGCGGUGAAAUGCGUAGAUAUCUGGAGGAACACCGGUGGCGAAGGCGGCAUUCUGGACCGAAACUGACGCUGAGGCGCGAAAGCCAGGGGAGCAAACGGGAUUAGAUACCCCGGUAGUCCUGGCCCUAAACGAUGAGUGCUUGGUGUGGUGGGUAUCGAUCCCUGCCGUGCCGAAGCUAACGCAUUAAGCACUCCGCCUGGGGAGUACGGUCGCAAGGCUGAAGCUCAAAGGAAUUGGCGGGGGAGCAC
rnacentral:rRNA from 1 species